AUUGAACGCUGGCGGCAGGCCUAACACAUGCAAGUCGAGCGGAGCGGCGGACGGGUGAGUAAUGCCUAGGAAUCUGCCUGGUAGUGGGGGGUAACGUCCGGAAACGGGCGCUAAUACCGCAUACUAUCAGAUGAGCCUAGGUCGGAUUAGCUAGUUGGUGGGGUAAAGGCCUACCAAGGCGACGAUCCGUAACUGGUCUGAGAGGAUGAUCAGUCACACUGGAACUGAGAUACGGACCAGACUCCGACGGGAGGCAGUAGUGUGGAAUAUUGGAUAAUGGGCUAAAGCCUGAUUCAGCCAUGCCGCGGGUAUGAAGAAGGUCUUCGGAUUGUAAAGCACUUUAAGUUGGGAGGCGUUACCAACAUAAUAAGCACCGGCUAAAUUCGUGCCAGCCGCCGCGGUAAUAC
rnacentral:rRNA from 1 species